GAUGAACGCUGGCGGCGUGCCUAAUACAUGCAAGUCGAGCGAACAGACGAGGAGCUUGCUCCUCUGACGUUAGCGGCGGACGGGUGAGUAACACGUGGAUAACCUACCUAUAAGACUGGGAUAACUUCGGGAAACCGGAGCUAAUACCGGAUAAUAUAUUGAACCGCAUGGUUCAAUAGUGAAAGACGGUUUUGCUGUCACUUAUAGAUGGAUCCGCGCCGCAUUAGCUAGUUGGUAAGGUAACGGCUUACCAAGGCAACGAUGCGUAGCCGACCUGAGAGGGUGAUCGGCCACACUGGAACUGAGACACGGUCCAGACUCCUACGGGAGGCAGCAGUAGGGAAUCUUCCGAAAUGGGCGAAAGCCUGACGGAGCAACGCCGCGUGAGUGAUGAAGGUCUUCGGAUCGUAAAACUCUGUUAUUAGGGAAGAACAAAUGUGUAAGUAACUAUGCACGUCUUGACGGUACCUAAUCAGAAAGCCACGGCUAACGACG
rnacentral:rRNA from 1 species